UAUAGGGAUAUCGAAAGUAAAACACAGAUUUCACAAAAUGGCUGCGAAGUUGACAACAUCGCAAAAUAAAGGAUGUGAUCAAUUUUACGACGUAUGUUGUUCUGUCUGCGAGGAUGAUGGCAUAAAUAAGGAAGGGCUGUUUCACUGUCAGAAAUGCUUAAAAACAUACUGCAAUGAAUGUGUUUUAAUGCACAACAAAGUACUGAAAAAUCAUUCAGUAACAACAACAGGUGAUGAUGACAACUGGCCUGUUACCAAAACUGUGGAUACUACUCUGGGGCUUUGUGAGGAGCAUGCUUCUGAGAAACUGACGAUGUUCUGUGAAGAUCAUGAGAAGCUGCUUUGGCAAGUCUGCCAUCUUCGAAAUCAUAAGCAAUGCGGCCAUGUUGUUCUAUGAGCUGAAAAAUGCAAUUCAUCAACUAAACCUAUUAACGUCGCUGAAAUCGAAACAAAAAUUGAACAAUUUCAGAAACUCUUAGUGGAAGCAGUAAAAAAAGUAAACAGAAUAUAAAGUCUAUACAAACAUCAUAUGAAAUUAUUCUAUAAGACAUACUUGAUUUUCGUCGACGAAUCAAUGACAGUUUAGACCGUCUACAACAAAAUACAAUACAUGAAUUGAAUUAAUUGCACUCCAGUAUGAAUAAUUCUUUGGAGGAUGAAUGCAAACAAUGUGAGACAUUCAUUUCAAAGAUUAAAGUGCAUGAUUCUUAAAGCAUUAAAUCGCCUGAGAGAUAUUUCAUUUUGCAUAGGAAAUAUCUGGACCAAACCGCUUCGGCAGAGCUAUUUCUUCGAAAAGUUACCACGAAUGCUGCCAUUGAAUUUCAGCAUAACACGGACUUGGAGAAGUGUCUUGCUGCUUGCACAGAUCUUGGGAACAUCACCAGUCGCGUUGGUUUUGUGUCACAUCAACAUGUUGAUCCCAACAAGGUCAUUAAAGUGCAAGGAAACUCAGAAUUCAAAGACAGAACAAAUACUGAUAAGAAUACAUGCAACAUAACCGGUAUAUGUGAGAUGUCAAACGGGUAUUUCGUCAUUUCUGAUUUAGACAAUCGAUGUGCAAAACUCCUCGAUCAAGCGUAUACCAUAAUUGGGCAAGUCGAGCUAACUACGUAUCCGUGGUCUAUUUGUAACAUUUCCCCCAAUGAAGGCGCGGUUACUAUAAGCGACUAUAAUUAUCUUAAAGAGAUUCAUUUCAUACGAGUGGACACUGAAACAGUUUUAACAAUAAAACAUACAACUGAACCAUUCGUGUUACGAAAUAGCGCAUCACAUAGGAGACAGGUUUGUAAUUAAUUUCUGGCACUGCUUUGCUCCAGUAUACAACAGAUGGACGAUUAGUGAAGAAGUUGUACGAAGAUAAGUCUUCACAAUUCUCAGGAGUUGCAGUAAGCCAUGACGGGAAGAGGAUCUAUCGAACCGAAAAUGGACGGCUUGUCACUCUGACCAGGGAUGGAACAGUCACACGAACCGAAAAUGGACGGCUUGUCACUCUGACCAGGGAUGGAACAGUCACAGCAACGAUCAAGGAUCCUACAUUUAAACAUUCAAUGAUAACAUGUAGUAUACACAUGGCAACAACAGGACAGGUGUUUGUGUUUGGUAAUAAAUCUGUAAGUCAAGUAGACACAGGCGACAAGACAAUCCUCGAUACGGUUGAUGUUGAUGGCUGUCCUUCAUCAAUCUACUUUAAUGUAGACAACGGCAAGUUACUUGUUGGAAUUCAUGAUAACGACAGCAUGACGGAGUUUAAAACAAUGACUUAAUGACUUAUUGAGUUACAUAUCAAAUUGUAUUGAAUAGAGUGAUCUAUGGUACGUUUGUUAUCACUUGAAUAUAAAUAAGUGCUUUUGAUUGAACAUAUGUACAUGUUACUAUCCAAUGGUGUGUGUGUUAUCCAAGUGUACAGCUUUGGCGUCAGCAAACAAUGUCAUAUAUCGUGUACGCCAUUCACGAUUACCUCGUGUAUACUAUUUAAAUAUCCGUAAAAGUCGAACCAAAAUCGAAAUAAAUUGCAAGAACACGUUUUUAUGAAGCUUUACAGUUGCACAUAUGUAAACGCUUUCCUAAACAAUUUACACAUUGUUUGUAGGUAGAUGCAUUGUGUUUUUGCUUUGGGAAUUUACAGUGAAUGCAUGUAAAAAAUUACUCGUUUGAAAAUAUCUAAAUUAUAACUGAUUUCGUUUUAAACUUAUUCUGCUAAAAUUCAACCACGAUAUUUUUAUUCUAUUCUUUUGAAAAAAAGAAAUAAGAGCUUAAUAUUUUGACAUUAUUUCCGGAAAUUGACAUUGCUUAGUAAAUAUAACGUGCCCCGGAAAUUCCAUGACAUUGCUUGGUAAAAAAUAAAGUGCUUUGGAAAUUCCAAGAUAUUGCUUAGUAAAAAUAACGUGCUUCGAGAAUUCCAAGACAUUGCUUAGUAAAUAUAACUUGCUUCACCGCAAAUUUGACAAACCAACAAUAUUGGCAUUGCACAACGCAGUAAAACAUAUUAUUAAUACAAACUUUUUGUUAGGUGAAGCGAAAUGUGAACGUUUAAAGUAUAAUAUACAUAUUAUGCAUUUGUUAAUAUACUAUCAUUACAGUAUUUAACAUAUGACGUCAUGUCGAUUUACCAAUCUUUUUUUAUGAAUGUAGUCGUCACCAUUUUGAAUUGUUUUGCUAUGUUGAUGCCACGAAAACGCAUGUGUUUAUGUUUUCAUGGAAAAAGGCAGACUUAAGAUUUUAAAACAUUGUACUAUUAUACGAACGAUUUAUAUUUAACUUAUUUGCAGAUGCAAAAUAAUCAAUGACUAAGCGUUGGUUAUUGUGGUAAUUACAAACGGUUGGUAAUCAAACCGUUUGGACUAUCGCAUUCAUGUUUUAUUCUUAUGCAUUAUUGUGCAUCAGAUCUCCAAACCGUAUGUUAUUACCGCAAUAACCAGCACUGAGUAGGAAAUUAUUACUUAUUUCAAUGUUCCUUAUGUAAUGUUUCUAAUUGUUAACAGAUUAUUCGCGUGAGUAUUUAAACUACGCCAAUGUUCAUAUCGGUUGUUCUUUUUUACUUGUCGAUUGUUAGAGUGUAUUUAACUUCUUGAUUUUUAUAGUGUUUUUAACUUUUUGAUUGUUAGAGUGUGUUUUACUUUUUGAUUGUUAGAGUGUGUUUUACUUUUUGAUUAGAGUGUGUAUUAUGUGUUUAUUGUUAGAGUGUGAUUACCUUGUUGAUUGCAAGAAUGUGUUUAACUUGUUGAUUGUAAGAGAGUGUUUAACGUGUUGAUUGUUAGAGUUUGUUUAACUUGUUGAUAGUAAGAGUGUUUUUAAAUUGGUUAUUGUUAGAAUUAGUUUAACUUGUAAAUUGAGUGUGUUUAAGUGUUGAUUAAAGUUUGUUUGACUUGUUGAUUGUAAGAGUGUGUUUAACUUGUUGAUUGUAAGAGUGUUUUUAAUUUCUCGAUUGUUAGAGUGUGUUUAUGUGUUGAUUAGAGAGUGGUUAACUUGUUGAUUGUUAGAGUGUAAAUAAUUUGUAUGUUUUGAGAGUGUGUUUAUCUUGUUGAUUUUAAGAAUGUGUUUAACUUGUUGAUUGUUAGAUUGUUUUUAAGCUUAAGUGUAUGUAUACAAAAUUGUGAAAUGUGAAUAAAUGUUACUUACUUCUUUGUUCCCACAAGGAAAUCAAAGAUAUGGUCUUUUCAAACGCAUAAUCUUUAAAAUCACAAAAUGUGCACAUUUAAGCUGUAUUUAAAGUGCCUGUUUUCGUCACACAAAUUCUGAUUGUUAUUUAAAGUAUUUGAUAUUUUUUGAGUAUCUACACGAACAUGUGAUCGAUGAAUAUAUAUGUUCUGUCUUAAGGACAUUUUAGUUUAGUCUUUUCUUCGACAAUUAAUCCUAAAUAAUGUGAAAAAAGCAGAUAAACAAUAUAAAAAUAGCUGUUCUUUUUUUCUCCAUGAGUAACAAAGUGUGUGUAAUCAUUAAUCGAAUAAGAAGCCAAGCAAGUCGUUAUGGCUAAUACAUGUUAUGUUCCAUUCUGCAUAUAGAUGUUCAUCCAUAUUCAUUGACUUUACCUACAAGUGGUAUGUGAUAGGUAUAUGAUGUAUCGGGUACAAUUCUUUUCGCUGUUAUGUGAAAUAUCCUUAUCCAAAUGUAAUAUCAAACGUAAUAUAUUUCGUUACCGCCAUGCAACGUUUCAAUUCAUGGAAGGACUUGAAUCUUCUUUCUGUUAAUUUUCCUCCUUUACCAUUAUUGUGUGACGUCCUUUUACCAUAUGCCACGGUGACAAUGAUGUGUUAUCUUGUUCAGUUAAUAAAGGGACUUAUUAAUAAAUUGUCCAAAUGAUUUUUUUUAAACAAUUGCAGUAGAUAAAAAAUCUAUGAUUUACUUUCAAACGAUCCGAAUACCAUUCAUGACUUGGAUCCUUUAUAAAUAAUCGACGGUUUUAUACUAUAAAGCCUUUGUAACGUGCGUUUUGAUGAUUUUGAAAAUACCUGUACUUAUACCGUUUAAAAUACGCUAUAAUAAACGAAUUUGUGGUUAGGGGGUAGAGAGUUAGUUUUUGCUUCAAGAGGUUACGGGUUUGACAGAGAAGACAAUAUGUGUAAUUCAACUUUUUAUGGCUAAUAUUAUUAUUUUAUAUAAUUUCUAAUAGUAUAGUUUUGUAAAUAAAAAAAGUCAUUGAAUCUUUAACAAGAUAAGAACAACGACGCCAAUCAGUUUGAUCAUCGCUUCCAUGACAAGAAUUGAUACUGGGGCAUGGUAACAUUCUGUGACAAAUCUUGUUUCAUAACAGCAUCGUAAUUACGUCACACCAAAUAUAAUUUGUAUUGAUUUAAUGAAUAUAUUAUCUUGUUUUGAACUUCGGAUCAUUCGAUUUUUAUCAACUUUACUGUUAUAAGUGUAAUUUCAUAUAUGUCUAUGUGUUUUUCUUUUAAAUGAGUUAUUUUAAGUUAAAUGUUGA